CCUACGGGGCGCAGCAGUAGGGAAUUUUCCACAAUGGGCGAAAGCCUGAUGGAGCAACGCCGCGUGGGUGAAGAAGGUCUUCGGAUCGUAAAACCCUGUUGUUAGAGAAGAAAGUGCGUGAGAGUAACUGUUCACGUUUCGACGGUAUCUAACCAGAAAGCCACGGCUAACUACGUGCCAGCAGCCGCGGUAAUACGUAGGUGGCAAGCGUUAUCCGGAGUUAUUGGGCGUAAAGGGAACGCAGGCGGUCUUUUAAGUCUGAUGGGAAAGCCUUCGGCUUAACCGGAGUAGUGCAUUGGAAACUGGGAGACUUGAGUGCAGAAGAGGAGAGUGGAACUCCAUGUGUAGCGGUGAAAUGCGUAGAUAUAUGGAAGAACACCAGUGGCGAAAGCGGCUCUCUGGUCUGUAACUGACGCUGAGGUUCGAAAGCGUGGGUAGCAAACAGGAUUAGAUACCCGUGUAGUC
rnacentral:rRNA from 1 species